AAGGGAGCGUAGGCGGCUGAUUAAGUCAGCGGUGAAAGGUAGCAGCUUAACUGUUUUACAUGCCGUUGAUACUGGUUAGCUUGAGUUGACAGAAGGCAGAUAGAAUUCCUGAUGUAGCGGUGAAAUGCUUAGAUAUCAGGAGGAAUACCGAUGGCGAAGGCAGCCCCCUGGGUCAAAACUGACGCUCAUGCACGAAAGCGUGGGGAGCAAACAGGAUUAGAUACCCCGGU
rnacentral:rRNA from 1 species